UUCAUUUUUAUGUAUUUUUAACUAGUUUAGUUUGCUGUAUUGUAGUUAUUUUACAAAAACGUAAAUAUAUCUAUAUUUAACUAAAAUAUCAGUUAUAAAUAACUAGCUUCCUUUUAAUUUUAAUGUAUUUUAAGUAGAUUUUAGUUGUGUAAGUUACAAACCUUCCUUUUGAUCAUUUUAUGUAUUUUAACUUUCUUUUAGUUAACUAUAUUCAAUUUAUUUUACUUAUACCAAAACUUACAUAACUAUAUUUUACUAAACAAAAGUAAUUUAAAAUAUACAUACAACUCGUUUUUCUAAAACCUUUCCUUUAUCAUGUUUACGCAUUUUUAACUUUCUUUAGCUAACUAUAUUACACCUAAAAGGAAAAUAUUGACGGGAAACGCAGAAAAGCAUGAUUAUGCACAAAAUGUGAAUUUUGAUCAAUUGUUCAUUUCGAUAAAACAGUGCAAUAGCGCGUAACGCUUAUAUUAAAAAUUCCCGAAAUAUACAUUUCCUACUUUUCAAGAACAUUCCCGCGCAAGAUAGAAGAUGCUGUUUUGACGUGCGAGAUUUAAAGGCUCCGGACUGCUCGCAUCUGCCCGAGAUGUUGACCCACAUAGUUGUUUACAGUUGUGACCAUUUUUCAUUGUAGUAGCGCUUGCUGGAUUGGCGGACGGACGGUAAAGAUCGGAAGUAGUUUGUGCAUGCUAAUGAAGGAGUUGGGCUUGUGGAUAUUUACGUUCAACGGGAGCCGCCCUUCAUUCACCACAUGGUUAAAAGCUGAGAGCGUUCGCGCCACUUUCGCAAUUUUACUACGCUUUUGUAACGCUACCUACAGCGUGCUCGGAUGCGACGCGUGUUGAUGGUGUAUUUCCACCGUCGGCGCUAGAAGUUCAACGUUUAGUUUCGACGAUUUGCCCGGAGCGUUGACAGUAAACGAAAAACCACAAACCAGGGUUCAGUGGCGUGAAACAAUGCUAACGCCGUCCCAAAGGUGGAUCUGCUUGGUUCCUCACGACCGUGAGCUUGUCAUCUCCAUGUCAGCGUAGUGUCAAAGUGCUUACAGUGCAGGUAGUUCUGUAAAAUCUACUGCAGUGGAGGCACUUCAAGCUCUACUUUGACAUGAGCGCGCACACGAGCGGCGACGUGAUCUACUGCUUAUGCUAAGGUUGGGAUCGGCCGCAAUGCUCUGCGCUGGAAGUAUUGCACUUGUCCCGGCCUGUGAAGAGCAUGGGAAAUUGUUCAGCUGCUUUUGUGUUCUUUAAUGCAUUUGAACAUUUGUGUUUUCCCCUGUUUGUUUUAGAAUUUGAUCAUCGCAAUAAAAGUUUUAAAUGCACAUUUGUUUGUGUGAAGUAUUUUAAUAAUUUAAGCGGAGACACUGCAGGCAAAAACAAUGUGUGUGGGUUUUUUUUUUUUUUUCUUGCACCUGUUAAGUUUGAAAUUGAGCUUUUUUUUUUCUUUUUUUUUUCCCUCUCAGACUAACGGAAAGAAAACGCCCAAAAGACUCUUAAGUGUUUCUUUUAUAGCAAUUUAUCUAUUUGUGUCAGUAGAUCACAAUUACUUUUUUAAAGGCGUUCUUCUCAAAAUGAGUUUUUUCUAUUACAUUGAGCUAUAAAUCUCCACUUCAGUAGUGCUUACACGCCAGACUUCGCAUUUUUAUUCCCGUCUAUAUCCUGAAGUUUUUCACAGAGGGAUUUGUUCGUGUAUAUAAUGUGCUUGAUUUAUAUGUUUUAUUCCACUGAAAAUUGUGAAAAAUAAAUUGUUUUAGUAUUUUCUGAAAUG